CUUCUAUUGGUAUAUGUACUUUUUUGAAAGUGAUAGUGAGGCUUCUCUGAGGCUCCCUUCACUGUUUACUAAAUUUCCUGGUUACUCAUGGCAAUACUGCAAUCACCUGAUACAAUAUGAUGUCAUCACGUACCACGAUUGAUGUGAUCCAAGAGUACCUACACUUUCUCGCAGACUUGUGUUGGCCUUUUUUUUAAAAUUUUUUUUUUUUUUUUUGAUGUUCAC